AGUAGGCAGGCUUCUGGAAGGAUGGGGCCCAGCACUCACAGCCUGGGCUAGCUGCCUGAGAGUAGAGAGUGGCAGGUGAGGGCUCUGAACCUUACUGUGUGCUGCCCAAGGAGCACCUAGGGCUGCCAAGAGGCCCAGGGAGGAGCCUUGAGACCUGACUGGGAAAGGCUUUUCUCCCCGCAGAGGACCACUGCUCAGGCUCAGCGGCCAUGGGGCAGAGCCCAUACAAAAGUGGGCAUCCAGUCAUGCUCUAAGCCCCCUGAAGAAGAAGACCAGGGAGCAGCUUCCUCUGAUGAAGCAGCAGUGAUCAGGGGACAGGAGGCUGAAGCCGUGAGCCCAGCAGAGUCAGGAACAGCCAAGUCUGGGACAGGCUUCAAUUAUUUUAGGGACAUGUCCAACCUGUAAAACCCACCUGUUCUGUCACCCUCAGCUUCUGGUGUCUACUUUCUAGACUGAAGGCAAUACUGGAAAGGUCGGAUUCAAGGGCUUUCAGG
rnacentral:lncRNA from 1 species